GACGAACGCUGGCGGCGUGCUUAACACAUGCAAGUCGAACGGAAAGGCCCUGCUUUUGUGGGGUGCUCGAGUGGCGAACGGGUGAGUAACACGUGAGUAACCUGCCCUUGACUUUGGGAUAAUUUCAGGAAACUGGGGCUAUUACCGGAUAGGAGCUCCUGCUGCAUGGUGGGGGUUGGAAAGUUUCGGCGGUUGGGGAUGGACUCGCGGCUUAUCAGCUUGUUGGUGGGGUAGUGGCUUACCAAGGCUUUGACGGGUAGCCGGCCUGAGAGGGUGACCGGCCACAUUGGGACUGAGAUACGGCCCAGACUCCUACGGGAGGCAGCAGUGGGGAAUAUUGCACAAUGGGCGGAAGCCUGAUGCAGCAACGCCGCGUGCGGGAUGACGGCCUUCGGGUUGUAAACCGCUUUCGCCUGUGACGAAGCGUGAGUGACGGUAAUGGGUAAAGAAGCACCGGCUAACUACGUG
rnacentral:rRNA from 1 species